UCACACCCGUUCCCAUCCCGAACACGGAAGUUAAGCUCAACUGCGCCGAUGGUACUGCAAUUAUGUGGGAGAGUAGGUCGUCGCCAGGC
rnacentral:rRNA from 1 species